rnacentral:rRNA from 1 species
GCCGGCAGCUAGCUCUCUGCAACUGUCACGUGGUCGCCCACUGAAGCUAAGCAGGGCUGCGCCCGGUCAGUACCUGGAUGGGAGACCACAUGGGAAAGCUAGGUUGCUGCCGGAA